UUUCAGAAAACCUUAUCUUUAUGCCACUGUGUAAAUCUGUAAUUAUUUCACCUACAGUGUGUGCAGCCCUGCCCCGAAAAGGCUAAAAUAGGACAGGAAAAGUUACAUAUAAAGUGAUGAUGGUCACCACAGGUAUGGAACAAUUUCAUGUAAGGAAGAUGGACCAGAGUAGAAAAAGAGAGGUUGCAGAAGAAGAGGGUACUCCAUGUCACAAAUAGCAUGGUGAAAGGUAAUAUAGAACAAUUAAUGAACAUGAUUUGUAUCACAAGAAGUGAAGAAAACAAGUAGAAAUUUAAAAGACCACAAGAAAUGCUCUUAUUAAAUGAAUGACUGAAAAUCUUGAAAUGAAGAACCAUGAAGUCUGUUACCUAUAGUGGUGUAUCUACUGCCUUCUGCUCAGAAAAUCCCUCAACCAUGAGUUUCAAGACAAGGAAAAGUUUGCAAAACCAUUUUCACUCUGUCUGUGUCUCUUUAAUUUUUACAAUUAUGCAUUGACAUCAUAGUACACACUUGGAAAAAUUGUUCUUUUUUGUGGGCUGAAUACCAUAGGUGAUUGUGGUGGUUUCUCCUAUCUUUAACUUCUGAUUAUCUCUGGUACUGCUAACUAGUUUCUUUUUUACUGGCAGAGUCUUCUGGCUCCUUAAAGCGUCAUUGGCACAAGUGAAAGAGAGCCAUGUGGAACAUUUUUGGGGAACAUAGUGUAGAUCUGGACUGUCUUCGGCUGCAAAUAAGCAAACAUUUGCAUGCACAUCUUGUUUAUUUCUGAGAUAGAAGUCUUCCAGUGGGAUUUUCUUCUUGCUCAAGCACCACAGGUUAGAUAAAUGCUAGAUGCAAAUGAAGAUUUCAGAAGAAAAGCUAUUUUAGAGACGUGGUUGUCUUGGAAGGUUCUGGAUGUCAAUUUAGUUAGAAAAUUACAUAGCAAUGAAAUAA